GCGCCCUUAGCUCAGUCGGAUAGAGCAACGGCCUUCUAAGCCGUGGGUCGCAGGUUCGAAUCCUGCAGGGCGCG
rfam:Escherichia hermannii NBRC 105704 DNA, contig: EH10570406.